UACGAAGGGAGCUAGCGUUGUUCGGAAUCACUGGGCGUAAAGCGCACGUAGGCGGAUUUGUAAGUCAGGGGUGAAAUCCCGGGGCUCAACCUCGGAACUGCCUUUGAUACUGCAAAUCUCGAGUCCGGAAGAGGUGGGUGGAAUUCCUAGUGUAGAGGUGAAAUUCGUAGAUAUCGGGAGGAACACCAGUGGCGAAGGCGGCGAUCUGGGAAGAUACUGACGCUGAGGUGCGAAAGCGUGGGGAGCAAACAGG
rnacentral:rRNA from 1 species